rnacentral:misc_RNA from 1 species
GAUGAAGAACGCAGCGAAAUGCGAUACGUAAUGUGAAUUGCAGAAUUCAGUGAAUCAUCGAAUCUUUGAACGCAUAUUGCGCUCUCUGGUAUUCCGGAGAGCAUGCUUGUUUGAGUAUCAGUAAACACCUCAACUUCCAUAUCUUUUUUGAAAUGGGAGUUGGACUUGAGUGAUCCCAACGCUUUUCCUCACCGAAAAGUGGCGGGUUACUUGAAAUGCAGGUGCAGCUGGACUUUUCUCUGAGCUAUAAGCAUAUCUAUUUAGUCUGCCUAAAAAACAGAUUAUUACCUUUGCUGCAGCUAACAUAAAGGAGAUUAGUUCUUGUGCUGACUGAUGCAGGAUUCACAAAGACGGCUUCGGCCGACUUUGUAAACUCGAUCUCAAAUCAAGUAAGACUACCCGCUGAACUUAAGCAUAUCAAUAGCGGAGGA